rnacentral:rRNA from 1 species
UACAGAGGUCCCAAGCGUUGUUCGGAUUCACUGGGCGUAAAGGGUGCGUAGGUGGUGAGGUAAGUCGGAUGUGAAAGCUCGGAGCUCAACUCCGAAAUGGCAUUGGAAACUACCUUGCUAGAGGAUUGGAGGGGGGACUGGAAUACUUGGUGUAGCAGUGAAAUGCGUAGAUAUCAAGUGGAACACCAGUGGCGAAGGCGAGUCCCUGGACAAUACCUGACACUGAGGCACGAAAGUGUGGGGAUCAAACAGG